rnacentral:rRNA from 1 species
AUUGAACGCUGGCGGCAGGCUUAACACAUGCAAGUCGAGCGGGGGAAGGUAGCUUGCUACUGGACCUAGCGGCGGACGGGUGAGUAAUGCUUAGGAAUCUGCCUAUUAGUGGGGGACAACAUCUCGAAAGGGAUGCUAAUACCGCAUACGUCCUACGGGAGAAAGCAGGGGAUCUUCGGACCUUGCGCUAAUAGAUGAGCCUAAGUCGGAUUAGCUAGUUGGUGGGGUAAAGGCCUACCAAGGCGACGAUCUGUAGCGGGUCUGAGAGGAUGAUCCGCCACACUGGGACUGAGACACGGCCCAGACUCCUACGGGAGGCAGCAGUGGGGAAUAUUGGACAAUGGGGGGAACCCUGAUCCAGCCAUGCCGCGUGUGUGAAGAAGGCCUUAUGGUUGUAAAGCAUUUUAAGCGAGGAGGAGGCUACUCUAGUUAAUACCUAGGGAUAGUGGACGUUACUCGCAGAAUAAGCACCGGCUAACUCUGUGCCAGCCGCCGCAGUAA